UGUGAUAUACUUAGUAAGUUGUUUUACACAACCCUUGAUGCUUAGUUCCCUUUCAUCAAGCAUAUUACAAACGUUAGAAGUGUUAACUAUCUAAACGUUAAAGGAGAAAUUAUG
rfam:Streptococcus agalactiae 2603V/R, complete genome.